UCGAGCAGAUCUUUAGUCAGAGUGGAUCCAGCCCAUGAUGGAGAUGGAAUCGAGCAGCCUGGCUCAACUCUCACGUUUGUUCAUCCAUGAGAUAGCAGGCAAUGCCCAAAGUGUGGGGGCGAGAUGAAUCACAAGCUCUCAAAGAUAGGUGGAAGACAAACAUCAAGUCAAGAUGGAGAUUGUUGAGAAAAAUACAAAGAGAUUCUAUCCAUAAUAAAUUCAAAAUAAGGUUCAGGACGACAAAUAGAAUCCAAUGAGAUUAAGAUCAGCCCAAAUGA
rnacentral:lncRNA from 1 species